AUGACCAAGUAUAUGGACAAGAUCACUCAUACGCUGACUGAGUCCAUGGUUAGUUCUUAUGCCAUGGGGGGUUUGCUGGUCGUGUCUGUUGGCACUGGCAUCGCCGUGUGGGUUUGGAAACAGUACUCAGAUAAGCACAGGGAGCCGGGGCAGCAUCCUCACGGAGAGGUGGAGAUGCCGCCACUACAUGCCGGACUACGUGGAGAUGCCGCCUCUAUCAUUGGCACAGCAGCUGCACGUCUGCGGAGGUCAGUGACAUCAGCGCCAUCCCUGCUGCGAGUGCGAGCGCCCCAUCCAUCCCUGCUGCGAGUGCGAGCGCCCCACCAGAGCCUGUUUCCGCUCGUGCCCCCCGCCCCCGGCUAG
rnacentral:rRNA from 1 species